ACAUUGUGCCAGGUGCAGGAGGCAAUCAGCCUGACCCUUCGCUGAGCUGUUAACACUUAGCUGUCCACAGACUGUAAGCUGAGUGAAAUGAGUCACUCCAGUUCCUGCCCACAAGGGGUUCAAGGUCAAGGGAACAAGUACCAUCUCAAGGCAACCAUCAGAGUCUCAGUCUGUCUCCCAGGCUGGAGUGGAGUUGUGUGAUCUCGGCUCAUUGCAGCUUCCACUUCCCAGGAUCAAGUGAUUCUCGUGCCUCAGCCUCCCGAGUACCUGGGAUUACAGACAUGCGCCACCACGCCCGGGAACUGGCCUUAGGAGAUCCAGAAUAUCAAACCAAGGUUGAGAGUGUCCCAUCUCAGGAAAGAAUGAACAAUUGAUUUACAGCCUUGUUGCCUCCAGCUAGACCACCAGGUGGCCCAUUACCCAACAUAACCAUUGCAACUAGAUAAUGCUGACCUGCAUACCCUACCCCUCAGAGCUUUGCCCCGUCCUGCCUGCAUAUCUACCCGAUAUUUAUUUAUUUUUUAAUAAUUUUUAAUUAAAAUAUGGAAUGCUUCACAAA